rnacentral:rRNA from 1 species
AACGAACGCUGGCGGCGUGCUUAACACAUGCAAGUCGAACGCAGUGGCGCACGGGUGAGUAACGCGUCAUCAACCUGCCCUUCAGAGGGGGACAACAGUUUGAAACGACUGCUAAUACCGCAUACUGAAGGCGGGGCUUACGUUGGAUUGGCUAGUUGGAGGGGUACCGGCCCACCAAGGCGAUGAUCAGUAGGCGGUCUGGGAGGAUGAACGGCCACAUUGGGACUGAGACACGGCCCAGACCCCUACGGGAGGCAGCAGUGGGGAAUCUUCCGCAAUGGACGAAAGGCUGACGGAGCAACGCCGCGUGAGUGAUGACGGCCUGCGGGUUGUAAAGCUCUGUUAAUCGGGACGCGGUACCGGAAUAGAAAGCCACGGCUAACUACGUGCCAGCAGCCGCGGUAAUUC